AAGGAAGCAAAUCCUAGGAACAAUCACGUGAGCUUGGAAGGAGACCUUUCCCCAGCUGAGCCUCAGCCUGGGCCAUCACCUGCAUCUGGACUGAAGACCCAAAGAAACUACUCCAUCAGGAAUUGUUUGAGACCAUGCAUUAUGUGGACACUCAUAUCGUGGAAUUAUAUUGCCAAUUGGCAUUCCUAAAGCUUCUACGCUAGCAGGUUUGGAGUAAUUCACCAGUGAAGUCUUCUCAACCUGGGCAAUCAUGUGAGCUUGGAAGAUGAUGCAUCCCCAUCUCAUCUUUCAGGUGAAACCUCAGCCUUGGCCAUCACCUACAUCUGGAUUUCUGACCCAGAGAAACUAGAAAGCAGGAGGUUAUUCGAGGAUGCUGGGCUCCCCUCACAAAUCUGUUUCUCAAAGUAUUGCAGAAAGGUGUGUCUUCUGGACACUCCCAGAGUAGGCUGGAGUACAGUGGCAUGAUUUCAGCUUACCGCAAACUCUGCCUCCUGGAUUCAAACCAUCCUCCGGCCUCAGCCUCCUGAGUAGCUGGGGCAACAGGUGUGAAGGCUGGUCUUAAACUCCUGACCUCAAGUGAUGGACCUGUCUUGGCUUCCAAAAGUGCUGGAAUUACAG